rnacentral:rRNA from 1 species
UACGUAGGGUGCAAGCGUUGUCCGGAAUUAUUGGGCGUAAAGAGCUCGUAGGCGGUUUGUCACGUCGGAUGUGAAACCCUGAGGCUCAACCUCAGGCCUGCAUUCGAUACGGGCAGACUAGAAUUCGGCAGGGGAGACUGGAAUUCCUGGUGUAGCGGUAGAAAUGCGCAGAUAUCAGGAGGAACACCGGUGGCGAAGGCGGGUCUCUGGGACGGUACUGACGCUGAGACGCGAAAGCGUGGGGAGCGAACAGG